UCCGGCUCAACGCCGGCAGUCUCUCUAGAGUCCCCACCAUUACGUGCUGGCAACUAGAAGCAGGGGUUGCGCUCGUUGCGGCACUUAAGCCAACACCUCACGGCACGAGCUGACGACAGCCAUGCAGCACCUGUGCUAGCCCCUUUCGGACACGGGCUUUCACCCGCUUUAACUAGCAUGUCAAGCCUAGGUAAGGUUCCUCGGGUUGCAUCGAAUUAAGCCGCAUGCUCCGCCGCUUGUGCGGGGACCCGUCAAUUCCUUUGAGUUUUAGCCUUGCGGCCGUACUCCCCAGGCGGGGCGCUUAAUGCGUUAGCUACGGCACGGAUUCCGUGGAAGGAACCCACACCUAGCGCCCACCGUUUACGGCGUGGACUAC
rnacentral:misc_RNA from 1 species